UACAGAGGGGGCGAGCGUUAUUCGGAAUUAUUGGGCGUAAAGGGCGCGUAGGCGGCUUUUCAAGUGACGGGUGAAAUCCCUCGGCUUAACCGAGGAACUGCCUGUCAGACUGGAAGGCUUGAGACCGGGAGAGGUGAGUGGAAUUCCCAGUGUAGCGGUGAAAUGCGUAGAUAUCUGGAGGAACACCGGUGGCGAAGGCGGCAUCCUGGACCGGCAUUGACGCUGAGGCGCGAAAGCUAGGGGAGCAAACGGG
rnacentral:rRNA from 1 species